rnacentral:lncRNA from 1 species
UUCCCUUAGUAUCUUGAUAAAUCAAUAUAUUGUCAACACCACACAUUUGAAAAUAAAACACAUUUCAUAAUACAUCUGCAUAUUAUUUCUUUCUUCAUGAUACACUACAUUGUACAGCACACCAAUGGGAAUUAAAAACCACAAAACGAACAAACUUUAACAAAUACAGCAAUUUCAUACCAAAAAAAUAUAGCAGAGAACAACACUAGGAAUUACCACCUGUAAAUGCAAGUUGUACUUCUCAAGGACGAAACGAAAAAGAAACAAGUUAGUAAAAUUUACAAGCUGUAUUUAUAACUUUGGAUAUGAAUUAAACAGUAACGUUUCUUUUCCACAGUGAGAAAAGCUAGAAUGUGGAGUCCUGUCAUCAGAUGAUGUGACUACAUGGAAUGAGGACUAUAGCUGCUCUCUUAAAAACCUGCAGCCCCCUCUCUCAGCCCAGACAGUUGAGAUAAGUGAACUGAGGCCCAAAGAAGUUAAGUAAAUUUCCCAAAGUCACAAGACAAAGGAGGGGCGGAGCUGUGAUUUGAAGUUGGUGCUGUUUGACUCCAAAGGCUGUCAGCUUCUUUGGGCAAAGACUGAGUCAUCUCUGCAUUCUCAGCACCUGGUGCAAUUUAGGCAGAAAUAUCUUGAAGAUUUUUCGUAUCUUCAGGGAGAUUAGGAAUGGGAAUGGAAUGGGAACGCCAAUGCAGGAAGGAUAAGUCUGCAGAUGCCUCCAAGGAGUCCGAAACCAAGUCCGAAGUCAACCACAAGCAAUGAUGGCGAUGGCGAUCCUAGUUAAUAAAAAGGGGGGAGAUGUGGGCGGCAAGCCACCCAGGUGCCGAGGCAAGAGACCGAGGACAUGAGCUGUUCCAGUAUAAUAAAAUAUAAAACAAGAAUAGUUAUACCAGAUAUAGAUCUUAGAUAUGAUUAUAUAUGAAUAUAAUUAAUCAUUAGUUUGUGGCAAUUACUCUUUAUUCCAAUAUUAUAAUAAUCCUCGCUCUAUAAUCAUAACCUAGGAAAAACCAGGCCAUACAGAGAUAGGAGCUGAGGGGACCUGGUGAGGAGUGACCAGAAGACAAGAGUGCAAGCCUUCUGUUAUGCCCAGACAGGGCCACCAGAAGGGCUCCUUGGUCUAGCGGUGAUGCCAGUGUCUGGGAAGAUGCCCGUUGCCAGGCGGACCGAGGUCUAGCGGUAGCGUAAGUGUCAAGGGAAAACACCCGCUACUUAGCAGACCGGGAAAGGGAGUCUCCCUUUCCCCGGGGGAGUUUAGAAAAGGCUCUACUCCUCCACCUCUUGUGGAGGGCCUGACAUCAGUCAGGCUCGCCCACAGUUAUCCAGAGGCCUAACCGUCUCCCUGUGAUGCUGUGCUUCAGUGGUCACGCUCCUAGUCCGCCUUCAUGUUCCAUCCUGUACACCUGGCUCUGCCUUCUAGAUAGCAGUAGCAAAUUAGUGAAAGUACUAAAAGUCUCUGAUAUGCAUAAAUAACGGCGUAAGCUGUCUUUCUCUUUGUCUCCUCUCUCUCUCUGCCUCGGCUGCCAGGCAGGGAAGGGCCCCCUGUCCAGUGGACACGUGACCCACGUGACCUUACCUAUCGUUGGAGAUCACUCACACUCUUUACCCUGCCCCUUUUGCUUUGUAUCCAAUAAAUAGCGCAGCCUGGCAUUCGGGGCCACUACCGGUCUCCGCGCA